rnacentral:tRNA from 2 species
GCCUCCGUAGCUCAGCGGAUAGAGCAGCCGCCUUCUAAGCGGUUGGUCGCAGGUUCGAGUCCUGCCGGGGGCGC